rnacentral:rRNA from 1 species
UGGGGAAUUUUGGACAAUGGGGGCAACCCUGAUCCAGCCAUGCCGCGUGAGUGAAGAAGGCCUUCGGGUUGUAAAGCUCUUUCAGUCGGGAAGAAACGGAGCGCUCUAACAUAGCGCUCUACUGACGGUACCGACAGAAGAAGCACCGGCUAACUACGUGCCAGCAGCCGCGGUAAUACGUAGGGUGCGAGCGUUAAUCGGAAUUACUGGGCGUAAAGCGUGCGCAGGCGGCUUUGUAAGACAGGUGUGA